CAAAAGCAAAACAAAUUGUUUGAAAUAUUUUAUUGUUUCGUCUAUAAAAUGAUGAUUUUUUCGGGGUUUUGGUGGAAAUGUUGAUGUUCUUCAUAGUGGGAUACAAAAGGUGUGUUAGCGACUGAAUAAGGAAAAGAUUGCGUGUGAAACAGGGUCAGUAUAGAGCCGGCAGGAGCCGCGAAGAGUGCUGUUGUCGAAGCAAAAUGUCACAAUUAAUUGUGUCAUCUUGUCCAUUGAAAAAGCUUUAAAAUGUAGAGACAUUUGUGGUUCCUCCAGCAUAAUUUAGCCGUUUAACGCUAUUAUGUUUCUAAUGGUUGAAAGAGCGCGUGGAAAGGGCAAUUUUUAAGAACAAAAACAAUUACAAUGUACUAUGUGUUAAUUGCUACUGUAGUAUUAAAAUACCUGAAGAGAGUCUCAAUUCUAAUAUUAAGUUGGUUAUAAACCUUGAUAAUAUUAAGUUGGUUAUAAACCUUGAUAAUAUUAAAGUUUUCAGAAGAUUUGUAGGAAUAUUAAAAGGAAUUUAGACUUAUAAAACAUAUUAAAAAUAUGAAUAUAGUGAAUAUUCCAUGUUUGUAUUGUGUUUAAUAUCAUCUCUAGAAAUUAACAGUGUAUAAACCAAAUCCUUGUUAUAUUUUUUAACUGCCCUUAUAGCUUUCAUUAUAUGUUUUAAUAUUUGCAAGCAGUUUAGUAGGUUAGGGAUGCAACAGCACUUUUCAAAUUAUUGAAUUAUAACCAAAUUUUGUGUCUGGAUAGGAAUUACUAUAUUAAAGUUUUACAGUUUGUAAUGAUAGAGUUGGAGCAAGUUAAGCUGCAAUGUGCCUCAGUUUGCCCUACUUUGUUAUUUUAAGCUGUUUAAUGCCAGAAUUAUUUGAAUGGGUUAACCAGUCCAUCUGCUA